GACGAACCGAGCGAACGUUGUUCGGAAUCACUGGGCUUAAAGGGCGCGUAGGCGGGCUGCCAAGUCUGGGGUGAAAUCCCGCGGCUCAACCGUGGAACUGCCUCAGAUACUGUUUGGCUUGAGACCGGAAGAGGUUAGUGGAACUGCGAGUGUAGAGGUGAAAUUCGUAGAUAUUCGCAAGAACGCCAGUGGUGAAGGCGGCUGACUGGUCCGGUUCUGACGCUGAGGCGCGAAAGCGUGGGGAGCAAACAGG
rnacentral:rRNA from 1 species